rnacentral:rRNA from 1 species
AGGAUUAGAGACCCUGGUAGUCCUAGCCCUAAACGAUGAAUGCUAGGUGUGGGAUCGAAUGGUUCCGUGCCGGAGCGAACGCGAUAAGCAUUCCGCCUGGGGAGUACGUCCGCAAGGUUAAAACUCAAACGAAUUGACGGGGCCCCGCACAAGCAUCGGAGCGUGUGGUUUAAUUCGAUGCUACACGAAGAACCUUACCUGGGUUUGACAUGUAGGUGGUAGUGAAUCGAAAGGUGAACGACCCUUCGGGGAGCCUACACAGGUGCUGCAUGGCUGUCGUCAGCUCGUGCCGUGAGGUGUCGGGUUAAGUCCCGUAACGAGCGCAACCCUUGCUCCUAGUUACAAGUGUCUAGGGGGACUGCCGGCGGAAAGCCGGAGGAAGGUGGGGAUGACGUCAAGUCAGCAUGGCCCUUAUAUCCAGGGCUACACACACGCUACAAUGGUCGGUACAAAGGGCAGCGAAACCGCGAGGCGGAGCGAAUCCGAGAAAAGCCGAUCGUAGUUCGGAUAGCAGGCUGCAACCCGCCUGCUUGAAGCUGGAGUUGCUAGUAACCGCGCGUCAGCCAUAGCGCGGUGAUACGUUCCCGGGGCUUGUACACACCGCCCGUCACGUCAUGGGAGUCGGUAACGCCUGAAGCCGGUAGUCUAACUGGAAACAGGAGACGCUGUCGAGGGCGGGACUGGCAACUGGGACGAAGUCGUA